GACGAACGCUGGCGGCGUGCUUAACACAUGCAAGUCGAACGGAAAGGCCCUGCUUUUGUGGGGUGCUCGAGUGGCGAACGGGUGAGUAACACGUGAGUAACCUGCCCUUGACUUUGGGAUAACUUCAGGAAACUGGGGCUAAUACCGGAUAGGAGCUCCUGCUGCAUGGUGGGGGUUGGAAAGUUUCGGCGGUUGGGGAUGGACUCGCGGCUUAUCAGCUUGUUGGUGGGGUAGUGGCUUACCAAGGCUUUGACGGGUAGCCGGCCUGAGAGGGUGACCGGCCACAUUGGGACUGAGAGACGGCCCAGACUCCUACGGGAGGCAGCAGUGGGGAAUAUUGCACAAUGGGCGGAAGCCUGAUGCAGCAACGCCGCGUGCGGGAUAACGGCCUUCGGGUUGUAAACCGCUUUCGCCUGUGACGAAGCGUGAGUGACGGUAAUGGGUAAAGAAGCACCGGCUAACUACGUG
rnacentral:rRNA from 1 species